UUCUGCCAGGGUUGUCCCUUGUCACCGAUCCUGUUUGUGAUUUUCAGGGACAGGAUCUCAAGGUGCAGCCGGGGGGAGGAGAGUGUCCGGUUUGGGGACCUCAGUUAAAAUUUAAAAAACAGG